GGGAAGGGCUGCAGCUCAGUGGUUAGAGCAUCUGCAUAGCAUGCAGAAGGUCGCAGGUUCAAUCCUUGGCAUCUCCCA